rnacentral:rRNA from 1 species
AGCACAGCCGCGGUAAUACAGAGGGUGCGAGCGUUAAUCGGAUUUACUGGGCGUAAAGCGUGCGUAGGCGGCUUCUUAAGUCGGAUGUGAAAUCCCUGAGCUUAACUUAGGAAUUGCAUUCGAUACUGGGAAGCUAGAGUAUGGGAGAGGAUGGUAGAAUUCCAGGUGUAGCGGUGAAAUGCGUAGAGAUCUGGAGGAAUACCGAUGGCGAAGGCAGCCAUCUGGCCUAAUACUGACGCUGAGGUACGAAAGCAUGGGGAGCAAACAGGAUUAGAUACCCCGGUAGUCCCUGUCUCUUAUACA